GUAGCUCUAUGCAAAUCGGUUCGAACCGGGUGCGAGAUCGCGCGGACGAAAGGCUGCAAAGACGAAUCAGUUCGCGAACGGUAGCGACUUGAGCGAGUCGCUCGGUAUACGAAGUACGGCAGUGGCGAUUCGGAAACCGGCGAUAUUUCGCUGAUGAGAAAGACGAAGGGAAGAUACGAGCGCACGAGGUGCGCGCUGCCGGCUCGUCGGGAGAGAGAAAAGUGGCGGGAAAAGCAGGGGAGUGCGUGGGCGCAGGAUCGAUGAAGGGCGCAAAAUGGCGACGACGCGAAAGGAUAGGGCGCGAAUAGACGCGCACGCGACGCGAGGAAGAGGAAGAGGACCGAGUUCUCUCUCUCUCUGUCUCUCAUUCUCUCUCGGACGACGAAAGAGGAGGACGGGCCUGCCAGGAUCGUUAGGGGAAGGAGGUGGACGGUGAAGGAGGAGGCGGCGAUGAAGGAGCGCGUCGUGGAGAAAGAGAAAGGUGGAUCGCGGUUUCCGGCAUCGAAGCAUCUCGCUGGCCUCGCGCACCAGUAUCGAAGUCUCCGAGCAACCCCUUAGAGAAAGAACGACCGACGCGCCACGCAGCGGAGGGUGCUGGUCGCAUUCCUUCCCCGACCGGCAAGAAGACGCGUACCUCUCUCCCAAUGGAACCUGAUUUUCUUGAUAACUGUGGAUUGCGGACUGACGAUCUCAACAGAGAGACACACGCCGGGGCUGACGAAACAUGGUCGUUUCGUCCACGGCCGUGAAACGACGUUUCCGGUUUUCGGGCGUUGUUCCGGUUGAAUUUGGAAAGAGGACUGUACGAUGGGGGAUGGUACGCAACUUUACAACACGGACAGACACGUACAAGCAUGACGGGGUGCUGCCCUCUGCAGGCUAAAAUUAGAGGGUUGCUGUCCGAAGUUCUCCGCUACACGUUUGCAUUUCCUAUGCACUAUUUCCCACGUGUAGGUGCGUACAGUCCCGCGCAAAAUUCGGGCUCUGCCGCCUCCGUCGCGCCGGCCGAUGCGCGUGUACAGAAUUUAUCAGCUUAUCGCCGAUUGAUUUAUUGCGCGCAAGAAGAGCAAAAAAAUGCGCCGAAUCCAUGAAUGAAACUGUUUUCGCCGGUCCCGCCACGCACGUUCGUGCGCGCGCGCGCGCGCGCGCAUGUAACUUUUUAUUCGACAAUAUUUUAUGAAAGCGACUUGUUAACGCGUGCAAUUCCCGACGAGUGUUUUCUCGACCGAUCUAUGCUUUUUGAUAUUAUUUCGACGUAACUUUGUGACUGUCGUUUGAAGAUUUAAACGCUAGACGACGUAUAAACGUCUGAUAUCUAUUGCAGGGGCGAGUUUUAAUUUAUCUGAACGCUAAUUCUGUGGAGUUUAUUACGUGCAUUAUCAAUAGUGCACAAACGAAGCAGCCGAAUGCGAUAUUCGAGGAAGAUUUGCAUCGGAUUCGACAGAUAGAUCUAUUCUAUUUAUUAUUCUACUUUUUCUAUUGGUCAUGGUAUUAGCACUGCCGUUAAUUAAAACAAUACACUGCUAAAUAUGUAAGGAUCGCGUUUAAACCGAUUUCUCAAGUUAAAUAACAUUUUGUUUUUAACUUUCAUGUGUGUUGAAAUUUAUUAUUUUACCGCAAAGUUUCAAAGUGAAUAACAUUCGUGUUAACGGUAUGCACUUAGUAAAUAAUAAAUAAAAUUCUAGUCAAAUUUAAUAUCACGUAACUUUCUUAAGUUGUCUCACUUUUUCUAGUUAAAUUAAUGACAUAUGUCGAGUGGGGGGGGGGGGGCAAUGACAACCUAUAACAACGAUGAAUGACUCAAAUUAGGUGUAAUUCAUCAUUACGAAUUUAAUAGUGUAUCGAGAGAUUGAACGUAAGAUAGAAUUAUCGGAUCGAUCAGGAUAUUUCUGUUUGCCUUCAAUGUGUCCAAGCGUUCGCAGACAGUUGGCUUGAACUUUGCGUUAAUUAUUUAAGACACUUAAUGACGACAUCGCCACUUUUUUGAGAUGACGACGGAGCAAUCUCGGAAAAGCAAUAUCGCAAUCAUUAGCGAGAGGAUUUUCGCGGAGGACUGUACGCACGUACCCUCUCCAGAGGCAUUAGACGCAGUGUAUCGGCGGCCGUGCUCGUGCGCGAGUAUUAGACACCAUGCCCGCAGCUCAUUUGCCAACUCCGGCAAAUUUACCAAAUUUAAAUGCAAAAUCGGCCGGUGCUCCGCCGGUUCGAUGGAGGUGCGAGCGAGACGGUGCGCGGGGUGGCGCGCGGGCGAGACGAGGAAAGGGGAAAGGUGAACACGAGAAUACGAGAGACAGAAAGAUAGAUAUAGGAACGAAGAGCAUGAGUGAGCGAGAAAGGGGUGUGCGGCGGAAGCGGGGAUACAGGGAGGAAGCGCACGGAAGAGACGAAGAGGGAAACGAAAAGCUCGAGCGAGAACGGACUACAUAGAUAGAUAGAGGCACGAUAGUGGAGAGCCGGAGAACGAGAGAGGGUGGACGGGAAAGAGGGACGGAGACAGAGACCGUGGUAGGAAACUCAAAUGGUCGCAAUGGUGCGGUAUAGUAGUCAGGCUGGUUGUCAGGCGCAGCAUGCGAUUGGUUCGCCGACCGUGUGUUACCUCUGUCUCUCUCGCUUUCUCUCUUCGCUUUACGUGUCUAUUCCGCUAUUCGUCCGUCUUUCUUUCACUGCAUCGUACUCGCCGCACCGACCUUUCUCUCGUUUCCACCCGCGUGUACCCUGCGCUUCGAGGGUUGCCGCCGCAGUUCUCGAGACGAGGGAAUCUGACAUCUUCGACAGUCCGACGAAGAAAAGUUUCGCGAGGGAGAUGGGCGUCCAGAGAGAGAGAGAGAGAGAGAGAGAGAGAGAGAGAGAGAGAGAGAGAGAGAGAGAGAGAGAGAGAGAGAGAGAGAGAGAGAGCGGACGCAGAACUAGAGAACGCGAUUGUCGUAAAAGAGAAUUUGCUUCCUUUUUUUUUAAUUUAGUAAGUUCAACAUUAGAAAUACCGAUGUUUCUCGCUCACUAAAAGGAUCGAACGAAUAAAUUACUAUGAAAAGAAUUUGAUUAAAAAUCAAAUAUUUCAUCAGCAUAAAAAUCAUAAUUAUUGAAAAGUAAAAAAAAACUUGAGAAUUCUAUCUUUUAUAUAGGCUACAUAAUAUCAAUUUAAAAAAACGGAAAAGUUCAAUAAUAAUCAUUCACUAUUUCUAAUCUCGAGUAGUUGGACGCUAACAUUUGUUUCGUCACGCCGCGACAAUUCGCGUUGCAAUAAAAUGACUACGGAAACCAUAUGUUUAUCGCGUGUCCUCUUCAUCGAAAUAUUAAAUGAAUGCGAUAGAUAUUAAUUCGAUGACUGCGGGAUCAAUGAAUACUUUUCGCCUUUUGAAUCUUUCCACUCUAAUAAAUUAAUUGGAGCUGUUUUGACGCAGCGUGGGAGGGAUAAUGUGUGGCACCGCGGUAUUUUUCAAUGAUGAGAUUAAUAAUUAUCAUCGAUUAUUUAAAAACAGCUGUGAAAGCGUACGAGUAGCUUUAUCUUUUUAGUGACCUCGUAAUGAAUAUUAAUUUUCCGAAUUAACGAAAAAUACAUCUGUAUCACAUUCAUUUUACUGCACCGGGCAAUUACCGGGAUUUAUCCUAUACAUUUCAGCCCAAGUAUUUCUUUUUAGCCAUUGUCGGAGUAAAAGUAGAAAAACUGUAUAUAUAUCUGACAUGCAGUUUCUGGCCAAGUGCAUAGGUAUGGGAGGGGUGUCUAUAUAUGUACAUAAAUAAGCGUCGUUGGUCGGCAUUCGAUCGCAGAUUGAGCGCAGCAAGCGGCAUUAAUUCCGAGGAGAAGAAGAUACGUUACCGGACGCGUCCGAUUUCGGGGCAGGAUCUAAAUCCCCGGCGGAGAAAAUCGGCCCGCACUAAAAUCGUCAAUCAAUGUCUCACGCUCUUGCCGCGCCCCGGCCGCGUUCAACCCUUCGCGCCCGCCGCCUACCUAUCCACCCAGCCACCCACCCCUCCGCCCUCCCCCCGGAGGUAGCGUCGAUCGCUCGUCGUCGCUGGGGCACACACAGCCAAAGGGUUGCCAAUUAUUAUUCGCGGUACACUUCGCACCGUUUUGUUGUUCAUCGGCAGCGCCGUUUAUUAUUCAUCGUUCAUCAUAUUGCGGUGCCCGUUACAACGCGCAGUUACAACACGACGACGGGCAGAAUACGCCGGGCCCGGCGUUGUUUCGCAUAGCGUUACACCGUUACGCCGACGUUACGAAUGGCACAGAGGGCGAAAGCGCGUGCUCGCUUACUCGUGCUCUUGUACUCGCACGCUCGCCGUUGCUCUCCCGCGUGUGUACACGCGCGUGUGCGCGUGUCGGUACACCGCGUGUACGCUCGUCAAAAUACAAAGUGAACACGAGUCCGCCAUGGGGACGUUUAUUGUGCACUCGUACGUUGUUUUAUCGGCGUUACAUUACGCGAUAGUUUUCAGUACUCGUCCCCCUCCCGCGCUUCUUUUAAUAAUGCGCAUUACGAUAAUAUCCCUUUGUGGUUGGAGCUCGGCGGGUGGGUGGGCGACCGGGCGGCGAAGCGAAUGCCCCACACCGCAGUUUUGAUAUUUAUAUACGUUCGACGUCGGGCUUGCGAGACGCGAGCGGAUGUAAAAUUCGACAACCAUCGCUCACCAUACUUACUCGGCGAUAAUUACUUAGUAAUUAAGCCUGACGUCCGAUGGCUAUCGGAUGCCGGGCUCUGACACAGGAACGCAACUUAAUUCGCGCCUCUACUGCCGAAGAUAUCUACGCGAUAUCGCAUUUAUUAUAUUUCGAUUACGUGCGUCACUAAACAGAGAAGUUAAUUAUAAAUCGGCAGAUCGGCUCGCAUUUACGCGCGCGUGAAUUUUAAUUAAAACGAAGAAGCACAAAUAUUUGCGGAAUCUACCCCCUAUUUUUUCUCACGCGCGCCCCCCUGUGUGCGCGCGCGCGCGCGCGCGAGACGACGUUCCCACAUACUAAUUUUAACAAGAUUCAGACUGUCAUGCGAACAAAUUUCAACAAAUGUCGGCGCUCGCAUUGUUUGUUUUCUGCGCGAAAUAUUUUUGAUAUGUUAAUUCCGCCGCUGCACUGCGUAAUGUCGAAAUCAUACCUACAUCUACACUAUUCAUACGCUGUGCACUAUGCGAAAUUUAUGUGUAAUCGAUUUCAAGCGCUCUGACUUGUUUCGUAUAGGAAAUUAGUAAACCACCGUUCACGGUCAGUGAAACAAAGAUACGGUACGAUGAAAAAGUGCAACAAGUAUCUAAAACAGAAUAUACGUAACGCGAUAUGCAUAAAUUGUUAUUUUAAACAUUUUGCAUACGUUUGCCGAGUAUCGCUCAUUGCUCGUGUAUAUUUACGCGUACAUUUCUAUUAUAAUUUUCACCACGCUAUUUAAAAUAAUAAUCAUACUUAUGUACUCUAUAAAAUUUUGGGCCGCGGCAAUAAAUUUUGCGUUGCACAAUUUCAAGGAAUGUUACACUUACGACUAACAUCGUCCACGCGUUACCUUAACUUGUAAUUAUAUGCGCUCGUAAAUGCAAAGUGCGAGUGUUAUAAGGACUCGUAAUUCAAGGAAUGCAUGACGCUCGAAUUUAGAGCCAGUCCCGCCCAGUAAAUUUCGGAGCGCGCGGAAUAAUGAGGACGAAUGUCGCCGGCAUAACUGAAAAGAGAACAAAAUCUUGGACGACCAAACUUUGAUAUUAAUAGAGGAAAUCCGGAAUGCGUCCGACACUGAGAAUAUAUCUCCGAAUCCCUCUCUUCCCCCCCCCUCUCUCUCUCUCUCUCUCUCUCUCUCUCUCUCUCUCGUUCCAGUGGUGUAAUUUUAAAUUGCCGCGAAAUUUAUGGAAACCCACUUCCACACGCUCCUCUCGUUCUCUCUUUCGUCCUGUGAUUAUUCUAAGUUCAUAAAAUAACGCAAACAACGCAAAACUUUCGCUUUUCAGGAUGUCGUUCGCGAAGUGCACCGUGUGAAAAGCGUAUUUGAAAAUUUCAGAUAUUAUGGAACACUACACGAUAUGGAAUACUGCUUUGUACUCGGAGGCGCACCACUAGAGAGUGGUUUUCGCAAUUUUGUGCGUAAAAUUUUUAAACAACACAUCAUUGAGUAUACUGCGAUACGAUUUGAAUUAUUCUUUCUUCCUCUCCUUCUUUUUCCCCGUGUAUUAUUAAUUCUGACAAGAUAGCUAUAAUUAUUCUCUCAUGUAAAUCACAGAAAAUUACAUCUUGCACAUUCUAAAUGAAUUCGUCUUUACCCUCCUGAUUUUUCCACAUCAGCGUGGGCGACUUUAAAAAAUGUCUCGGGGUGUAUUUGCCAAACAAAGUAAUUUAACACGAAUUAACAUAAAUCACUCAAGUUUCGUUCAUGGCUGUUCACUCGCUCGCGCGUUCGUCCGUUCCACUCGACAGUUCGCCAUCCCUCAACCAACCCCCGACCAGCCGCCACCCAUCAGUGUUACCCUCAUCCGAUUGGAGGCAACGGCCGAUUACAACGUCCCGGCAGAAAUUUUCAAUUUUCGAACUUUUCAGCCACGGGCUCUCGUACUUGUCCGAAUAAUUUCCAAUCGACUGAUUCCUUCCGCAAUAUCUUCGUCUUCCGUUUCACGUCAACAUCGAUGAGUUUACAAUUUUUUGACGUUGGACUGCGACACGUUGUAAACACUCAAUUUGCCAACUGUCAGUGAAGAUCAAGCGUAAUAGGUCGAGGAAUGAGGCAAGAGAAUUUAUAUGCUUAAAUUAUUCUCUGUAUAUUAUGCAGAAUGUGUAAUAAUUCAUAAAAUGUAUGUUAAUAAACCAUCAAAUAUUCGACUUUCUUAACGUAAAGGUUAAA